AAAAAAAAAAGAGGACCGUCUCAACGGAAGGAGAAGGACCUGCAACGGCAGAGACUACUGACCCUCUUCUUGUUCCUAGCCGUCUGUUACGAGUCUGGGAAGCCUGGAAUCCUAAAUAGGAGGGAUCCCUCAAAAUAGAGAAGGGCGGGCAGGGCUUCCGCAAGGGCCUCCCCCCUUUUCCCGGUCAAGAUAGAUGGGAAGGAGCCCUAUCAAGUAAAGGCCAUAACCAACCUCUUUAUUUAUGUACGUACACCUUUGUUUCAGGGCGGGGCCGCCCUUCCUCCUGCUAAUCCGGCCAUUUCCGAACCUGUCUUUCCCAUCCCAUGCAAUUCAAUGGAGGACUUCUCAAUUCUUGCGAUUCCCAGCUCCCUUAGCUUAUUUUUAUUAUAUUAUAAAAAUAAAAAUAAUUAUAGGGUUCCAAACGGCAAAAUAGGCUCAAUGAUCUCUUUCUUCGAUAGACCGGUCCGGCGCUCCGCGUGGUUAUAUUCGUACAUGUUCCGACUCGCCGGUCAUUAUGGAUCUAGUGGCAUGGCGAGGCAAAGGGGGGGCAACUACGAAGCUUCGUAGACUCGACAAAUCGCUCCGCUUAUAGAAUAGAAUGCAAGCAAGCUGACUCUCUAGCUUGCCUAGUAGCCUUCGUUUUCGACAAGGCGACCAGCGGGAGGAAAGACUAGACAGACCAUACUAAAGUAAAGAGGCAUUCAGGAAGCGACUAGUAGAAGCUGGGGAAGCUUCUAGAAGGCCGACCACUACAUAGAGAGAUCCAUAUACCAGUCAUGAGCUAUCGCUCAUGCCUAGAGAGGCGCAGGGCAGGAUCGAAGAGCUUAGUGUGAAACGCUCAGGAAAAGAGCAGAGAAUGGGUUGUGCGCCCUCCGCCCCAUCCUACUAAAAAGAAUGAAGAGCUUUGAUGCCAGCAAGCACAAGCAUCCUUGUAGUUGUUGGGGAGUAGGAUUCCAAACCUUGUUUUUUUUU
rnacentral:misc_RNA from 1 species